AGAGUUUGAUCAUGGCUCAGAACGAACGCUGGCGGCAUGCCUAACACAUGCAAGUCGAACGGGAUCCAGGCUUCGGCCUGGUGAGAGUGGCGGACGGGUGAGUAACGCGUGGGAACCUGCCCAAUGGUCUGGGAUAACCGCGGGAAACUGCGGCUAAUACCGGAUAAGCCCGAGAGGGGAAAGAUUUAUCGCCGAUGGAGGGGCCCGCGUCAGAUUAGGUAGUUGGUGGGGUAAUGGCCUACCAAGCCUACGAUCUGUAGCUGGUCUGAGAGGAUGAUCAGCCACACUGGGACUGAGAUACGGCCCAGACUCCUACGGGAGGCAGCAGUGGGGAAUAUUGGACAAUGGGGGCAACCCUGAUCCAGCAAUGCCGCGUGAGUGAUGAAGGCCUUAGGGUUGUAAAGCUCUUUUGCCAGGGACGAUGAUGACGGUACCUGGAGAAUAAGCCCCGGCUAACUUCGUGCCAGCAGCCGCGGUAAUACGAAGGGGGCGAGCGUUGUUCGGAAUUACUGGGCGUAAAGGGCGCGUAGGCGGCCGAUCAAGUCAGAUGUGAAAGUCCUGGGCUUAACCUGGGGACUGCAUUUGAUACUGAUUGGCUUGAAUCCGGGAGAGGAUAGCGGAAUUCCCAGUGUAGAGGUGAAAUUCGUAGAUAUUGGGAAGAACACCAGUGGCGAAGGCGGCUAUCUGGACCGGUAUUGACGCUGAGGCGCGAAAGCGUGGGGAGCAAACAGGAUUAGAUACCCUAGUAGUCC
rnacentral:rRNA from 1 species